rnacentral:lncRNA from 1 species
ACAGUGGACUCCAUAUACUUUUGGAAUUUGCAACUAAGUCCCCCUUCGUCUACCUCCAGUCCUCCUCCUGUGUUUUUUCUUCUCUGCCCGACCCCGCCGCCCUCGUCGGCCAUGUGCCGAGCUCCUGCUGCCCCCGCGCCGCUUCCCCCUGCGCCACGUGCUGCCCCAGCGCUCGCGCCACCGUUCCCCACCCCGCGCUGGCCUUCUCCUCGCCUCUCCACGUCGCGCCACUGCCGCCUGAGCCACCAUGCCUCCCGCCGGCCUGACAACACCUGCUCCCGCACGACCAAACCUUCUUCUGGACCCCGAGCACAUCCUGAAGCUCCCCACGCACUCACUCUUGCUUUCACGCGUCUGCAUUUCCACUGCCAUUUCCUUUCCCAAGCUCUCCACCUCACCAGACCUCCGCCGCAGCUCCUGCUCGCCAUCGACAGCUGCCUCCGCCGCCUCCCAUCCCCGAUCCAGUGCUCUAGAAACACCCCCACCACCCACUGGUGCUCCCCAGCCCGCCCAAUUUCGCUCUCUUGCACCAGAACAACCGGACCACUACGCCGGUGAGCUCGAGCUCCCGCCGCCGCUUGGCCUCGCCGUCAUCCCGUCAAUCCACCACCUCUUAGCCCCAGCCAAGUGUACCAUCAGCACCACAUCAUCGCGUACAAGCUCUCUGGCCACUUCCCUGCCCCCCUCCGGCACUCCGGCCACCAGAACGCCAUCACCAUCCCUCUGAGCUCCGCUGCCCACCUUUGUUCGCCGUCGACCCGCCGCCUCGGUCCCUCUCUUCCCCAACACCGGCCACCCUCAUGACCGCCGUGAGCUCCUGAACAUUUCCCCUCACUUUCCCGUCGCCGCCGGUGAGCUAACUCGCCGGAAUUUUAUCGGCACCGAUCGUUUUUCCUAUGUAGCCCGACCAAGGACCCAAUUGUAAGGAUUUGAAUCUUUCCAAGGGUCUUUCUGUAGAAAAUCAAUACUCCUCUCUAAUUUCAAACCAGCCAACUUGUAAAAUCCAUAGAAAAUUGUAGAAAAAUCAAAAAAUAGGCAAACCAAUUUUGUUGUACUCCUACAAUCUAACUCUACAACUUUUAUUAAUGAAGUUCAGUUUGAAACCAAACAUUUUUAGAGUUAUUUUAAAGUUUAACAAAAGGGUAUCUUGUGUGUAACUUUUGCAUUUUAGCUUCUUUUUAUGUGAUUUUUGGUAUGCAGCAUUUUUAAGGUAUAUGUAAGAUCGUGUAAAAAUUUCACCUUAUUUUAUGCACUCUAGCUUGAACCAAUAUGAAUUUAUACAAAUCAAGCUCGAAUUGGUUAAAGUUUAUUUAAACAUGUUACUAAGGUUUUCAUGCUUGGAUCUUUUUACCAUGUGAUGAUCUGUAAACGAGUAAUUCAUAAUAAAUGUUUCAAGAAUUUAUAGCACUAUUUUAUCUAAGAUUUGAAUUUAAACCCUAGAUGCAUUAAGUCUAGGAGUUGAAAUGGAACCAUAGAUGCAUGAAUCCUAGGAACCUUUGUAUUGUGCCUGAGUCCAUAUCGAAUAGAUGCUUUGCUAAUAGGACCGGCAGAAGUCGGGUGAUUUCCUGUCACUCGCGCGGUAUAGGAGUUGAAUAUCUACUAUUCUGCAAUCACUAUAAGGAUAAUGGAUGGGGUCAUGUGCAGUAUCAUGAUUUGGAAGAUUACCCCGUCUAUGUUGAUAAAAGUUGGUGGCAAAGCAUUUGAAUGUACUAGCCACAUGCCGUAACCAAUCGGCCCGAGGAGUGGACAUACCUCCCACCACUCGUAAUUUGGUUUUUCACACGCACCGACGUGCGGGAGUACGUUCCGCACAGCGGAUAGGAGUACGAGCAUGUAGUCACACUACAGACGUAUGUCCUGCACAUUGGAUGUGCGUAUGGUCAUACAGUCGCUUGUGGUGGCCCUGUUCCACGAGUCGGAAUGAAAGGCAAACGGUUGCUUCGGAAUGAUCGUUGGAUGUUCCAAGCGUGUGAGUUAGGUUUACCUUUGGAAGGUUUGGAAAUUUGAUUCAGAAUCGUCCGUUUCUCACGGAGAUUGAGAUUGCUUAUUCCUUCUGCCACAUAGAGUAAGAACAAUAACUAUUGUUGGAACAAUCUUGAUGGAUGUUAAUCUCUACCUUGCUUGUCUAGUAUAGGUGCUUACCUAGAAUGGUUAAUGAAACUAGAAUUUGAAAGCUAAAACAUGAAAGUUAGAUCAUACUCUUUGUUGCUUUUUAGCAAAAGAAAACUAAGCCUCUCAAAUUCUUCAUGGUCUAGUUAUGGGCUAAGUAUACCCGAUUCCGGUUAAGUCUUGCUGAGUAUUAGUAUACUCAGUCUUGCUAGUCUACUUUUCAGGUAUGACCUUUGAGAACCCCAUGGAUGGUCCAGCAUGGCCAAUUUCUGUUCCGUUUGGCUGGUCCGUGGAAUGGGAUCCGUCCCCGGCUGGCAGUGACCCUCCAGAAUGACACCAUGUUUCGGGCUGAACUUGGUGUCAACCUCCGCGACGUGUGUAGUCGUGUCGCGUGUUUAUUUCUUCCGCUGUGACUUUACACAAGUUUGCAUAACUUGUGGUUUUCAAUCAAUGUUUGUAUAAGUAUACUUAAGUUUGAAACGGUUUGUAAUAAUGUUUAAUAUUCUGUGAGUUAAAAGUUGGUGAGCUGUAUGCGAUUGUAAACUCGCCUUCGUGCGAGGUAAACCUGCUUCGAUCCUGUUGAACCGUGGUUGCAUCGGGCGAAGACCCGACAGACUAAUGGGUUGUUCCGUUUGAAGUGCAUUGAGUUAGUAUCGGUUUUAUAGUGAUGACUAGCGCACUUGAACUGGAAUAAUUCAGGCGGUUCUGCCACAGCUGGUAUCAGAGCUGUAGGUUUACUCUUACAACUGCAACAGCUCUUACAAAUGUUUUCAGGAUAAAAUUUGCUUAAUAAAAGAAUUUGCAAAGUAUGUUGGAUUCGUUAAGGAUGGUGCUUAGAUCGUAAAGCCCUAGGGAUUUAUAUGGGAAUUAUCAGGUGGCUACUAGUACAUAUAUAUGUAUAGUCAGUUCCAACUUGCAGUACUACUUUCUGUUAAAACUUACUUUCGAGCACAACCAACCCUAGAUAUCUAUUGGUAUUAUCCGUUCCUCAACAUUGAGAUGAGAAGGUAAGAAGGUAAGGAUCCUCAGCCAACUGAGGGAGAUUGGCCUUCCCAUCGGUGAUGCGAACCGAAUGCUGUUUCUCAAGCAGUAGCUUACUUGAGAUGCUGCCAAUAUAUAAACGAUUUGUUGAUUAUAUUGGGAGUAUAUGGUUCGGCGCAGGGUAUGGCGAUCGCUGUUCAUACCCCCAUUUUAUACGGUACCCCCGUGAAUACGUUGCAGAUGUAAUGUAUGCUAACGUCGUCCGUAUGGCGGAAAUUGUACGGAUACUGUUUCUAUAGUGAACAAUGCUGUUUGGGAACGCUUUCAUGUCAUGCUGCCAUGAAAGGUUCAUGUUAUAUACCUAUGGUUUUCUAUAGGUACACUAACCAUGAUUAAGAGGUUAAGACGGAUAGGACUUAUCGAUUAGUUAUUAGUAAGAGACGUAUGUGUUAUGCCAUCGAAAUUAACCACGUAAGUCCGAAGAUAUUUGGCAAUUGUUUUGGUUGUGAGGUCGAAUAGUACGUGCAUGCAUAAUCCAUCCAUAAUCAAAAUAAAUGCUUUGAAUGUGUUGUUCUUUCAAGGAUGUAUAGAGUGUUGUCUAUCUUUAGUGUGGUUUCAAUAGGAUUCUUGUGGUAAUCUUAGUUGGGUUUUCAGCAUCCUUCAAAAUCUCACCAUCUGAAUUCUUGUUUUAGAUGGUGGCUCCUUCAAACAUCUUUUGGGAUCAUGCAGGGUAUCUUCAUACCAAUGCCUUGCACUGGGAGGGUUUUCCCCAUCUCUUAUGGGAAUCACUUAGUAUAUUCUUCUACACCGAGCCCCCACAGUACGAUGGAGUGGAGUAUAGAGAGGAAGGUGUUUCCCGGUGCAGAGUCAAGAUGACUAUUCCUCAGCACCCUUUUCGUUCUCAGUGGCAGCCCAUCGAGGUUGAUGUGGUUGGCUACCGUCUCAUCGAUACUAUUGAGACCGCAGCUCUUGAGGUCAUCCAUAUUUUCUGCAACCAGCAUCCCAUGGAAGUUGCAGGGCAUCCUAUCGGCCUAUUCCCAGCAAUAGAUUUUAGUGAUCCUGAGUGGAACUUUCGGAUAGCCCAUUAUGGCCAUAUGUUGGGAGAUUCAGCCGAAGAAACGCUCCGUGGUACCAUCAAAUUCAUGAAUGUUCAGCACCACUAUCAGAUUCUGCUACACCGUGGUAUGGGUCAGUUGACUGGUAUAGCUCAAGGUCACUAUCGAAAUGCUGAUCGACAGGUCACUCAGAUAGAAGAGCUUCAAGCAUUGGUCACGAGACGGAGGAAAUCAUCGCAGAGCGGGAAGAGACCAUUAUUCACCAGGAGGAUCAGAUCAAUGAGAGUGAUGCAAUAAUCAAUCAACGUAACACGAUUAUGGAGUUCCUCUAGGAGCAAAUCCAUGAUCUUAUCCUUAAGGUUGAUGAUGCCCAUGCUCACAUCGACGAACUUCAGCAGCAACCAGUACCUCCUGCUGUACCUGUAGCACCUGAAGGUGAAGAAGAAGACCUAGAGGAAAUCGAGGGAGUUUCUGAUCUCAACUCCGAGCACGGAAACCUAGAGCCUAACCCUCAGCCAGAUCACUCCUCUUCCAGCAGCCAGUCCUCCGUAUGUGACCUCGACGAUUUCUAGUCCCUCCAAAUCGUCGAUCUUUUCAGAUAUAACUAGUGUAGACUGUUGUGACAUAGGUAGUAGGUAGUCUACCGGACCCAGAUGUGGCAGAACCGCCUGAAUUAUUCCAGUUCAAGUGCGCUAGUCAUCACUAUACAGGCGAUACUGACUCAACGCACUUCAAACGGAACAACCCAUUGGUCUAUCGGGUCUCCGCCCAAUGCAACCACGGUUCAACAGGAUCGAAGCAGGUUUACCUCGCACGAAGGCGAGUUUACAGUCGCACAACAGCUCAUCAACUUUUAAUUCACAGCAUAUUAAACAUUAUUACAAACCGUUUCAAACUUAAGGUAAACUUAUACAACAUUGUUUAAAGCGACAAGCUAAACAUGCCUGUCAAGUUCACAGUGAAAGAAAAUUAACACAUGACUAUACACAUCGUGAAAGUUGACACCACACUCAGCCCGAAGUAUGGCAUCAUUCAGGAGGGUCACUGCUAGCCGGGGACGGAUCCCACUCCACGGACCGGCCAAAUGGAACAGAAGUGGGCCAUGCAGGGUUAUCCGUGGGGUUCUCAAGGGUCAUACCUGAAAAACAAACUAGCAAGACUGAGUAUACUAAUACUCAGCAAAACUUAACUGGGUCAUGGUAUAUAUAGCCAUGUAGCUAGACUUAUGCUGGCUUGUAAUGGUUCUAGGUUUAAUUUCAGCUGAAAAGCAUCAAAGAGUAUGAUCUACUUUCAUAUUUUAGCUUUCAGUUUCUAGUCCCAUUAAUUAUUCUAGGUAAGCGUCUAUUCUAGACAAUCAAGGUAGAGAUUAACAUCCAUCCAGAUUAUUCCAUAGUGGUUACUGUUCUUACUCUAUGUGGCAGCAGGAAUAAGCAGUCUCAAUCUCCGCGAGAAACGGAAGAUUCUGAAUUGAAUUUCCAAACCUUGCAAGGGUAAACCUAACUCACACGCUUAGAACAUCCAAUGAUCGUUCCGAAGCAACCGUUUCCCUCAUAUUCCGGGCUAUGGAUUAGGGCCACCACAAGUGACUGCAGGACCGUACGCACACCAAUUGUGCUGGACAUACGUCUGUAGCGCGACUACAUGAUCGUACUCCUGUCUGCUAUGCAGAAUGUACUCCCACAUGUUGGUGCGUGUGUACAACAGAAACCAAAUAAUCGGGUGGUGGAGACAUGUCCAUUUGCUGGGCCAAUCAGGUACUUGGCUUACCGCUUUACCAUAUUUCGCGGUAUGUGGCCAGUACUUUCAAACGCUUAGCCACCACUACCACACACUACGACCUUAACAACUUUUAUCAACACAGAUGGGGUAACUUUCUGAGUCAUGAUACUACACAUGACCCCAUCCAUCAUCCUUAUAGUGAUUGCAGAAUAGUAAACAUUCAACCCCUAUAUCGCGCGAGUGACAGGAAAUCAUCCGACUUCUACCGGUCCUAUUAGUAGUGCUCUAUGCGAUAAGGACUCAGGCGCAAUACAUUGGUUCCUAAGAUUUAUGCAUCUAGGGUUCCAUUUCAACUCCUAGACUUAAUGCGAGAUAUAAUAUAUAAGUAUAGAAUUGCAUAAAUGUAGUAAUUGGAAAUACUAGGUUAUGCACCGGGGCUUGCCUUCUUGAGCGGUGCUAGGGUCAGUGGUGUCAGAGACUUCCGAACUUUGGUUUGGGGCUUCAGUUAAUAUCUUGGCGCCGCUCGUAGGAUCUUCAGAAAGUCUAGGCUCGGGUUCCUGAACCAGCUCGUAGAUUCCGUCGUCGAGUGUUGCUGACUCUACAUAAUAUGCAAUGAUUUAAGUGGGAUGGUUCUUGAGUUAAGGAUUUUACUUCACAAUAAAGUUGCAAUCCAAUAAAUUAACAAAUAGAAACUCAUGAAACAAGGGGGGUUUGGAUUCAAAUCUACUAUUUAUACUUAAUUUAUGGUUAUAUUAAUGGAAUUACUUUAAAGUAAUUUGAUAAGUUUGAUUUUUAUUUUAAAAACCAUUAAGGUUCUGACCUUGAACUUUUGUGGAUAAGCUUAUUUCUAGUGGGUAGGCUUACUAUGAAUUUUUCAUAAUUUUCUGAAAAUACAAACUAGGGUAUUAGCUCAAGUUAAUCUAAUUGAAGUUGCUGAAGACCCAAACCAAAGUUCGGAAGUGCCCCCGACUAGUUUUGCCCAAGUAGGCAAGCCCCAGCGCAUGAUCCUAGUGUUUCAAAUUAUGAAACUACUGUUCCUUUUUACUAUACAUUUAAGUUCAUAAGAGUUGAUUGGAACCCUAGCUGCAUGAUUCUAGGCACCUAUGUAAUGAAUACUAGAACUAGGAGUUCGAGCAGAUGCUCUACUAAUAGAUUCGGUAAAAGUCGAGUGAUUUCCUAUCACUCGCGAGAAUUAUAGGAGUUGAAUGAUUUACUAAAUACUGCAACUAUAAGGUCGACGGGCGGGGCUGUGGCACGAUGCUCAUGGUUGAGGCCCUGUCUGAGUAGAGAAAAAUGCUAAGGCCGCAGUGUGUGUUAGUGGUGGUUAAGCGUUUGAACGUACUAACCAAAUGUUGAAAAUAUGGUACUCGAUAAGCUUAAGUACAUGAUUGGUCCAGCAAGUGGACUUUACUUUCACCCUACUUGAACGAAGCUCAGAUGCGUAUACACAUGCGACUGCAGAGCGUGGCUCUGUAGUCCGGGAGGGUGACCCUGAUCCACAACCCGAAAAGAAAGGGGAAAAGUUGUUUGGGGUGACCCUUUAGUGCUCCAGGCAUCUGUGUUAGGUUUGACUUGCAAGGUUAAGAAAUUCGAUUUGAAUCAUCUGUUUCUUACGGUAAUUGAGACUGCUUAAUAAUUCUGCCACAUAGAGUAACAAGAGAAACUAUGGCUAUGAUGAAACUUGUUGGAUGAUUAAAUAUUUUCCACCAUGUGUGGUUAGAGAUAGAUUCUCACUUAGAAUGGUUAAAUGAACUAGAAACUUGAAAGCUAAAAUUUGAAAUUAAGGACUUACUCUUUGUCGCUUUCUGGCAAAAAAAGAAAACCGAGAGCCUUAGAGCCAUGCAUGCAUAGGCGUUGGUUAUGAAUACCGUUAGUCGAGUAAGCCUUGCUGAGUAUUAGUAUACUCCGCCUUGCUUGUGGCAUUGUUUUCAGGUGUGCCUUUUGAAGAAAUGAUAGCUGGUUUGACAUGGCCUUGUACCUUGCUGCUUGGUUGGUCCGUGGAGUGGGAUCCGUACCCGGCCAACGAUUACUCUACCGAGUGGUGCCACAUACAAGCUUCAUAGAGGAUCGUGCUUUCUUUCCGCUGCUUUUAAACUCUGAAUAAAGUUUUUAUAUUUGAACUCUGAUGUACUUGUUUUAUGAACUCAGCUUGUAAUAAGUAAUUAUCAGACUUGUGAGGUAAAAGCUGUGAAUUGUUGUAAUCUCUAGACUUGCCUUCAUGCAAGUUAAGUGUACGCUUUGUUUCGAUCGAAAUAUUCAGUGGUUGCAUCGGGAAUUACCCGACAGACUGUCGGAUUACUCCGUUUGAAGUGCAUGGUAGCCGUUUCGCCAUUAUAGAUGAUGAUUAGUGCACUUGAGCCAGAUUAAUUCGGGCGGUUCUGCCACAUAGGGCAAGCCCAAAGGCACAACGAACCGAUAUCCUUACUUAGAACAUCUGGCCUAACCACAUAUAAAGCAUAAACUUAUGGAAGAACAAGGCAUGGUAUGAUAAACUAUCAAGAUAGCAUAGCAACCACGACUAAGCUCUACAUUACAAAUAGGAUACUGACAAGUCAAAUACAAAGCCAUACCAGUGGCCGAGGAUUGCUCAACGACCUCGAGGAUGACUGGAUUCGCUAAAGAGAGGUUCUAGCCUAGCUGCACUACCCUAAGGAUUAAAAGUCACAAAGUGAGAGAGGGAGAGAGGCUAUAAUGUGUGGUGUGUGUGAAUGAGGGGGGAGGAGGCCUCCUAUAAUAGCCUUCAAGGGCGGUUCCCGCAAUCUUUAUGUAUGGAAACCUUAGCCACGGUCUUGAGGAAGUGUAGGGGGUACUCCACGUCAAAAUGCACCUGGACAGAGUCCAUCUCGGUUCGGCCAACCCCAGGUGGAGCCUCUCCAACUCUGCCUUCCUCUAGCUAGCUGGCAUGUGGGCCCUGGUGAUGAUCCUUGGUGAUUUGAGCCUUGGCGCGCCCGUUUGGGAUGAUGGUCAUUGAGAACAGCAAUAACGAGCGUAUCCCACAAUGAACUGUCUCGGGGUGGAGAAUGUGUUUUGAUUACCAGAAACUCACUCGGCUACAAAGAAAAUCACUUCCCACUGCCCUUCAUUGAUGAAAUGCUAGAGCUAUUGGCGAAGCAUUCUUUCUUCUGUUUCCUUGAUGGGUAUUCAGAUAAUCUUCAAAUUCCCAUCCACCCCGAUGAUCAGAGCAAGAUGAUGUUCAUAUGCCCGUACGGAACAUAUGCUUAUCGUAGAAUAUCAUUCGGGCUCUGCAACACUUCUGCAUCUUUUCAACAGUGCAUGAUGUCUAUUUUCUCUGAAAUGAUCGAGGAAAUCAUAGAAGUUUUCAUGGAUGACUUUUCCAUCUAUGGGAAAACCUUUGAUCAUUGUCUCGAGAAUUUAGACAAAGUCUUGCAAAGGUGCCAAGGAAAGGAUCUAGUGCUAAACUGGGAAAAGUGCCACUUUAUGGUCCUUGAAGGCAUCGUUCUCAGGCACCAUGUGUCCGAGAGGGGGAUUGAGGUGGAUAGAGCCAAAAUCAAGGUCAUAGAAUAGCGCCCGCCUCCUGUGAAUGUGAAGGGCAUCCGUAGCUUUCUAAGCCAUGCAGGGUUCUAUCGCCGCUUCAUUAAGGACUUUUCGCAGAUCAGUAGGCUCCUCACAAACCUUUUAGCUAAGGAUGAACUCUUUGAGUUAUCGAUGAGUGUUUAAAAGCUUUUCAUAUCUUAAAAGAAGCCCUCAUUUCAGCUCCAAUCAUUCAACCUCCUGAUUGAAGUCUGCCAUUUGACAUAAUAUGUGACAUGAACCCACUAGAGUUUGUUCCUAAUAUUUCGAUGAGAUGCGUGGGAUAACUCGAUUGAUGAAGGAGACGAUGUUCAUGGUCCGACUAUAGCCUUCCAAGGAUACUGCGCUUUACCAACCGAUAGACAACCUCCUAUGGCUGUUGCAAUCUUGUGGAGUGAGACACCCCGGCCACUAGGGCACUCGUCCUGCAAGCAAUCGAAGAACUAGCAAGAACAAGUAGAACAAGUACUGAAUUACCAGAUAUAAAUAAACGUUUCAACUCAAUCUCCAAUAAAGUGGGGUUCCGAAGACAGGAAGACGAGCGGCUGAUCCAGCACGCGCACUUACCAGCAAGUAGCGAGAGCUAAACUUGAUCUAAACAAAACCAAAUCUGUUUAUGGCGGCUAUGGAGGUAUAUGAGAGGGUAGAGGACGACCAGGAUAUGGUGGAGGUCAUACCUAGACCCUAGGACGCGCCCCUAUUGGGCCCCACUUGAUACACAGCCCAUCGGGCCAAAAUCAGGUGACACAGCACCAUGUACAGAAAAGGUCUCUAUAGUAAAUCAACGAUUGCGGCUGCCUCGGAGAAGAUGUGGACAUGAGUCCCAAUCCAUAUGAAUGUAGACUUUAUAAGCUUUAUGUAAAGUCCAAGAACGCCCCAAUCGGAGUCCGUAUGAAGUCGUGGCAGCCGUUACAUCUUGGUUCUAUCCUGCAAUCUGAAUCCAACAUCCAAAACGUGUUGGAUUUGGACUCUUUCUUUCCUUGCACCAAAAGUGACGUGGUGUCCUGGUGGAUAACAUUGGGAAGACUUGGACUUGGUACCAAAUCAAUUUCUUUGGUCCUCCAUAUUUUCCAUGUAAUUUCCACACACGGCUUUAUCCAGUCGAGUAAUUCUGAAAACGAGAAUGCACAGAAAUCAUAGUGCAGUAUUAAUUGUUCAAAUGUAUCAAAUUUAAUCUUGAUAUAGAGUUGAUUCAUCUUUGGGAAAGAAGGCACUAAUAUGGUUGUAUCCAUUAUAGUGAUGUCCUCAUCAUUCUCCCAUUCUUGAUUGCAAACGCUAAACUUUCAAUAAAACAAAACCCAAUUUGUUUGUUGCGGCUAUGGAGGUAUCUGAGAGGGUAGAGGAUGGCCAGGACGUGGUGGAGGUCAUCCCUAGACCCUAGGAUGUGGCCCUAUUGGGCUCCACUUGAUACACAGCCUAUCGGGCCAAAAUCAGGUGAUACAGCACCGUGGAUAGAAAAGGUCUUAUACUAAAUCAACGAUUGCGGCCUCCUCGGAGAAGAUAUGGAUAUGAGUCCAGAUCCAUAUGAUAGUAGACUUUGUAAGCUUUCCGUGGAGUCCAAGAAUGCCCCAAUCGGAGUCUGUAUGAAGUCGUGGUAGCCAUUACAGUUUGGUUCUAUCCUGCAGUCCGGAUCCAACAUCCAAAAUAUGUUGGAUUUGGACUCUUUCUUUUCUUGCACCAAAAGUGACGUGGUGGCCUGGUGGAGAACAUUGAAAGACUUGGGCUUGGUCCCAAAUUAAUUUCUUUGGUCCUCCAUAUUUUCCAUGUAAUUUCCACAUAUGACUUUAUUCAGUCGAGUAAUUCUGAAAACGAGAAUGCACAGAAAUCAUAGUGCAGCAUUAAUUGUUCAAAUGUAUUGAAUUUAAUCUUGAUAUAGAGUUAAUUCACCUUUGGGCAAGAAGGCACUAAUAUGGUCGUAUCCAUGUUAGUGAUGUCCUCAUCAAUAUGCGAUGCUAGUGAUUAUGCUGUUGGGGCGGUCCUUGGCCAAACCAAAAAUAAAAAGCAUCAUGCACUUUCCUAUGCUAGCAAAACUUUAACAUGAGCUCAAUUAAAUUAUGCAACCACUGAAAAGGAGCUCCUAGCUGUUAUUUUUGCUAUCAAUAAGUUCAGAUCUUACUUGGUUGGAGCAAAAGUUAUCAUUUACACAGAUCGUGCUACUUUUGAAAUAUUUGCGCACCAAGAAAGAUGCUAAACCUCAUUUAAUAAGAUGGAUUCUCUUGCUCCAAUAAUUUGAUCUUCAAAUAAAAGAUAAGAAACGAGUAGAGAAUACUGUUGCCGAUCAUUUGUCGUGUAUGCAAGUUACUAACAUGCACGAACCUCCGACCAAUGAUUUCCUACGCGAUGACAUGCUACUAAAGGUGAUGGACUCAAACCCAUGGUACGCAAACAAUGUAAACUUCAUGGUUUCAAGAUACGUACCACCUGGGGAAAACAAGAAGAAACUCAUCUUCGAUAGCAAACGUCACCUCUGGGAUGACCCAUACCUAUAAGUGUAUGCAUAGAUGGUUUAUUAAGAAGAUGCGUACCAGCAACCGAAGGGAUGAAGAUUAUAAAAAAAUGUAACAUUGCAGCAUACGGAGGCCACUUUGGAGCAUUACGAACUCAAGCAAAGAUUUUACAAAGUGGUUUCUUCUGGCCAACAAUAUAUGAAGACACUAGAGAAUUCAUUCGAAGGUGUCGAAGGUGCUAGAUGCAUGGUGGCAUCACAACUCGCAAUGCAAUGCCCCUCACAUACAACCUCCAAGUUGAACUAUUCGAUGUGUGGGGCAUUGACUUCAUGGGACCAUUCCAGAAGUCUCAAGAUUGCGAGUACAUCAUGGUUGCUGUUGACUACAUGUCCAAGUGGGUGUAGGCGCUACCAUGUAGAGCAGCUGCUAACGCCAAGCAAGCCCGCAAGAUGUUCCACAAGAUCAUCUUCCCUCGUUUUGGGACACCACAGAUGGUCAUAAGUGACGGAGGGUCUCAUUUCAUCGUAAGACCUUCUGACACUUCUUGAGGGAGCUUGGUAUGUAGCAUAGCAUAGCAACUCCAUACCACCCACAAACCAGUGGUCAGGCAGAAACAUCAAACAAGAAAUCAAGAACAUUCUGCAAAAGACGGUCGAUGAGUUGGGAAAUGUGACAUUCAGGUACUUAGGAGAUAGGCAUGCUAAAUUCUAGUAUAUGUUAUGCUUGUUAGAAUGAAGUGUGUGUUGCUUUGAUAAAUGCUUUUAAAACCUAAAUACAAGUUAAAGGGUAUUUUUGUAAUUAUGGAAAAAUUAGGGUUCUUUUGCUAAAUAUGUUUGAAGGUAGGGUAAUUUCAAAUUGUAUGAAGGUUAGUUUUGUAAAGGCAAAGAAUUUACUUUUAAAUCACUGUAAGAAGUAGAAUCACCAUAAGGUUUCAAUUGGAAUAUGAAUUUUAAAUAGGUUUUAUGUAAAAUUUGAUAGUUUGUCGGAUUUCGAAUUAGUUUCAAAAUCCUAACUCUUUUGAAGCUGACCCCUAAAGAAAAGUUGUAGAUCUUUUUAAACUCUACACUUUUGCUUUUGGGCAUAAUUUCAUUUGGGCUAUAGUUUGAAAGAAAAUUUUACUUUACAGUGCACUCCUUGUUCUUUUGGAAAAAUACGGAGGGGUCCUUGUCGUCUUCCUCUCUCCCCUCCCUCUCUAUUUCUCUGCUGCUCUGCUCCACCGACCGCCGCCCCUCGUCGGCGAGCUCCCACGCUACAAGCUGCCCCUCGCCGCUCUAACCUGAUGAGGACAUCACUCCUUUGGAUAUACAAGAGGUUCCUUCGCUGGACAUUCAAACCAUUCAAGCUCCAAUCACAAGAGCUCGCCCGCGACAAUUAAAUUUAGAGGUGAGCUCGCUCCUAAGCGUUUCUAUUAAUAAUUGUGAGAAUGGUUUGCUACCUAAUUUUUACAAUGUGAUUAGGAACCAAGGAGAGGUCCAGGGAACACAUGGAGAGGAGCAUGGAGGUGUGGAGGAACAGCAAGGGCCGCCAAGCCACAUGGAGACCCAAUCCAAUUUAACUUCGAGUCCACCUCGGAGUCCAGGAGCAGCCUCAUGUAAAUUGGACGCCCAGGCCACAUCCGGAGUCCGAAUUCAACGAUCCACAUAUGGACGGAAAGAUAAUUUCAUGGAGCUUCUAUUGGCAUUGGUUUCAGGUCCAAACUCCUUCUGAGUCGUCGGAAAUUGUCCGAGAAAGUUGGCAUCCAGAUUCUGUCCCGGUGCUGCGACAUCGUAUUUUGGCCUUUGGGCCGCGUAUCUUUGUUGAGCCCAUUAGGGGCGCGUCCAGGGGGAAGCCACGCCCCUAUUUCCUAUAUCUCAGCAGCCGCCGCCCUCAUUAGGGUUGGGUUUUGCUUUAGAUCAAUCUGUCUUGAACAGUCGCUGUCUUUCGGUUUGUAGAACCCCAACUUUCGAGCUCAAUCGUCCAUCUGCAGUUGUCACUUUAAUUUGAGUGCUGUGUUUCUUUCGAGUUCUUGCUUGUGUUCUUUGUUUCGCAUGCAGGGAUUAGCCUUCUCGGCGAGGUCAACCGGAUUGUGACUACGGUUGAUAACCAGAGGAGUUGUGGUGCUAAGAUUGCGGGGUUCGAGUUGCUGACUUGAAUGCCGAAUCGGUGUGUCACAUUCCGACCAAAACGAGUUUUCCUUCACAUGACGGAAGAUCGGGCACCCCCGUUCAUAUCAAGUGGUAAUCAGAGACUCAGGUAUUACCGUCAGGCUUACCCUAGUUUAGUUUGUUCCAUCAUCCUAUAUUCCGCUGUCCUCGAACCCUUGUUUAGCCUUUGCAAUUUCGUUUUCAGACCCGCUUUGUUCAAUUUGUGUCCGUGGUCGAGUCGUGUUGCUGGUUUAGGGUUUGUCUUCAUCAUAGUUCAACCGCACCAUCGCUGUGUUUUUGUUUCCGCCGCUAUCCCAUCCACCAUUACCCAGAUCCCAAGUCGAUACAUCCCAUUACUCGACUUGCCCUUGCUAGCCGCCUUGUGUGAACUCUCGCCGCGCCAGCCCUAGAUAGGUUGCGAGCCACCUUGUGCCUUCCGCCUUGCACCGCAGCCCCCCUUGGAUUCAUCUAGCAAUUACCCAUUGCGCAUACCAGGGAGAAUUUGUGCCCUAGCCGCUGCUGAUCUAUCUGCCGGGUUGUGCCUUCGCAAAAAACAUAACUUGAGAUACCUUCCAUAAAACAGGCAUAACUUUUCGCUCGGUUCUCCGUUUUGGCUGAAAUUUUUACAGGAGCUUGGCAACGAAAAGUUGCACAUACAAUUCAUCCGGCUUUGCCGGUGAGGCCGAUCUCAAAAAAUUCAAAAAAAAUCAGGAAGAUAAUUAAAAAAUUCAGUUUCUAUCCAGCACGCUUUUCGGCAUACCUGUUUGAUUUUCUGUAGACCACAUCUGAUCUCUAUUUCAGGUGAAACUUGGUGUGGUUCCUAUUCUGGUGUUGCUUGUGCUGUGAAAAAUAUCAAAAAAAUCAUUAAAAAAAAAUCGAAAUCAACUAGGCUUUGCACUAGUGCCUUUUUGGCAUUGCUAGUACAAUAUUUACGGUACUGCCAUUCUGAUUGUUCUGUGAGAUUCUUCCAUUAUCCUUUGUUCCAACUUGUUGUGCUAUGCCUAGGAUACAUCUUAGCCAGCAAUUGUGACUUGUACUUUGGAUAUUUAUUGAACUUUGCUCAUCUGCACUCGAUUUUGUUCCACAUACACAUACAUAUUGUGCCUGUCCUACAGCUCCAUAUACAUACACUUCAUCUCAGUGCAGCGAAGGACCCUUGCAAUCUUGGUACCCUCUUCUCACAGGUUUUUCACCGUCCACCGGUUGUACCAUCCCACUGUUUGUAUUGGUAAGACGCGUGUGAGGGUGUGAUUCCACCAACAAACCCAGGGUCUUUUUGUUUCACUAACCAUGCCGGACGAUAGGCCUGUUUUGUCUAGUGAAUUGCAGGCCAUGAAGGACGAACUCAUGGAGUUUUUUGCUAAGGAGAUAAAUAAGGUGGCGCAAGACGUCCAAGGGGCCAAUCAUACGAUUGAGGGUGUGAACAAACGCCUCUCUACACUGACUGACAGGGUUCAACGUCUUGAAGUCAACCCUUCCAAGAGCAAAGACAACGAUGAUGACUGGCUAGAGGACGAUGAUGACAUCAUUUUUGGGUCUGAUGCGAGCCUGAUAUGGCUAAGACUCGUGCGGAGAAGGUCCGUCGUCAACGUCUUCGCAAGAAUAAAACAGGUAUGGGAGGAACCAAACAUCGGCGCACUACAGGUAAUGAUGAUCCUUAUGCCAAAGUCAAAUUUACCAUACCUUCUUUCCAUGGUCGUUAUGAUGCAGAGGAAUACUUAGAUUGGGAGAUGACUGUUGAACAAAAAUUUGCUUCCCAUCUUGUUCCUGACCAACAUAGUGUUAGACAAGCCACUAGUGAAUUUAAAGAUUUUGCUAUAAUCUGGUGGCAAGAAUGUGCUCAAUUAAAUAUACAACCUGAUUCAUGGGACGCGUUUAAGAUAGCAAUGCGUGAUUGUUUUGUUCCUGCAUCUUAUAAACGUGAUAUGCGUAAGAAAUUACAACGUUUAGAUCAGGGUGAUAUGUCUGUUCAGGAGUAUUACGCAGAGCUUCAAAAGGGCAUGGUUCGAUGUGGUGUAGUUGAGGAUGCUGAGGAUAAAGUGUGCCGUUUUUAUGGUGGUUUGAAACGUGAAAUUAAGGACAUUGUUGACUAUAAAUCUUUUACUACCACCAACCAGUUGUUCCAGCUUGCUAUGCUUGCAGAAAAAGAAUUGCAGGGACGACAACAGCAGCAGCAACCACCUCAGAGCAGGAGCACCUCCACCAGAUCCUACAUGCCUAAGUCUUUUACUCCCAAAGGUGCUUCCACGGCGGUGUCACCAGCUCCAGCAACCACGCCCGCCGAUGGUAAGUCUCGUGUGCAGGAACUGACCAAGAGUGCCUCACUAGCAGCACGCUCUUCCUCUGGCAUUCAGUGCCAUCGUUGUUAGGGCUUUGGCCAUGUGAUUCGAGAAUGCCCAAGCAAGCGGACAUACAUUGCCACUGCUGAUGGUGGCUACGUCAGUACUUCAGAUGCUGAGGACGACACUGAGGAUGACCCACCUUCUAAUGAGGGUCUUUCAUUGAGUGCGGGUGAUGCGGGCUCUCAGCUGAUUUGUAUUGUCCACCGUGUCCUCAGUACACAAUUGGGACAAGCAAACAAGAUGCAACGCCAUAAUUUGUUCCAGAUUUUAUUUGUGAUCCACGAUCGACGUGCACGUGUCAUCAUUGAUGGAGGCAGCUGCAACAACCUGGUUAGUGCUGAUUUGGUCCAGAAGUUGGGUUUAGCCACACGUCCUCAUAAACGUCCUUACCAUGUUCAGUGGCUAAACGACUCGGGUAAGGUUAAGGUAAAUCAAACUGCACGGGUGCAUUUUUCUCUUGGUCCAUAUUCUGAUUAUGCGGAUUGUGAUGUGGUACCCAUGGACGCAUGUUCGCUUUUGUUGGGUCGUCCAUGGGAAUUUGAUAAUGAUGCUGUCCACCAUGGUAGAAGUAACACAUACACACUUAUGUAUAAGGGCCAGAACAUCACUUUGCACCCAAUGACCCCUGCUGAAAUUGUACAAGCUGAUAAAGAACAACUUGCUUCACCUGAUGUUGCUGCCACAGUUGCAACCCAAGCCGCUAUUAAAUUGAAAAAUCAUAAUAUGCUUGUAACCAAAUCUGAUCUAUAUGAUAUGGAUGUUUCUACUGUGUGCUAUGCUUUGAUAUGUAAGGAUGCGUUAUUUUCUAUUCGUGAUAUAGCUAGCACGUUGCCUCCUGCGAUCGCUGACAUUUUGCAGGUGUAUGAGGAUGUGUUUCCAAAUGAGCUCCCACCGGGGUUGCCACCUUUGAGAGGUAUUGAGCACCAAAUUGAUUUGAUUCCGGGAGCAUCUUUGCCCAACCGAGCAGCAUACAGGACCAAUCCCGAGGAGACUAAAGAGAUUCAGCGACAAGUCCAAGAACUUUUGGACCGCGGGUAUGUGCGUGAGAGCCUUAGUCCUUGUUCUGUACCUGUGCUUUUGGUUCCUAAGAAAGAUGGUACAUGGCGCAUGUGUGUAGAUUGUAGAGCCAUUAACAACAUUACUAUUCGCUACCGUCAUCCUAUACCUCGGUUAGAUGAUAUGCUUGAUGAGUUAAGUGGCGCCAUAACUUUUACAAAGAUUGAUUUGAAUAGUGGAUACCACCAGAUUCGCAUGAAGUUGGGUGAUGAAUGGAAAACUGCUUUUAAGACAAAAUUUGGUUUAUAUGAGUGGUUAGUGAUGCCUUUUGGUUUAACUAAUGCACCUAGCACUUUCAUGCGUUUGAUGAAUGAGGUUUUACGUGCUUUCAUUGGUAAAUUUGUGGUGGUUUAUUUUGAUGAUAUCUUGAUAUAUAGCAAGUCACAUGAGAAACAUUUGGAUCAUCUACGUGCUGUUUUUGACGCCUUGAGAGCGGCGAGCUUGUAUGCUAACCUUGAGAAGUGCAUUUUUUGCACUGAUCGAGUUGCUUUUCUUGGCUAUGUUGUGACUCCUCAGGGCAUUGAAGUGGAUGGUGCAAAGAUUGAUGCCAUUAGGAGCUGGCCUACUCCUCAGACUAUUACACAGGUGCGAAGUUUUCUUGGUCUUGCAGGGUUCUAUCGGCGUUUUCUGAGAGAUUUCAGCACCAUUGCCGCCCCACUACAUGAGUUGACGAAGAAAGGUGUUUCUUUCCAUUGGGGCCCAGCACAAGAUCAAGCUUUUGAUACUUUGAAAGCGCGGCUUACUUCGGCGCCCUUGCUGCAACUUCCUGACUUUGGUAAGACUUUUGAGCUUGAAUGUGAUGCCAGUGGCGUUGGCAUUGGUGGCUUGUUGAUGCAAGGAGGUAAACCUGUUGCUUAUUUUAGCGAGAAAUUGAAUGGGCCUACUCUGAAUUAUUUCACAUAUGAUAAAGAAUUUUAUGCUCUUGUUCGUUCUCUAGAGACGUGGCAACAUUAUUUAUGGCCUAAGGAAUUCAUUAUUCAUUCUGAUCAUGAAUCACUUAAGUACCUUCGCAUGCAAAAUAAACUGAACCGUAGACAUGCCAAGUGGGUUGAAUUUAUUGAAUCUUUUCCAUACAUCAUUAAACACAAGAAAGGGAAAGAUAAUGUAAUGUUAUUGCUGAUGCCUUGUCUCGUCGUUACACCAUGUUGUCUCAACUUGAUUGUCGCAUUUUUGGACUUGAGUCGAUUAAGGGACAGUAUGAACUUGAUGCUGCUUUUAAAGAUGUGAUCCUAAAUUGUAAAGAGGGUCGUGCUUGGAAUAAAUAUGUGCUGAAUGAUGGGUAUUUAUUUAGAGCUAACCGCCUAUGCAUUCCAGUUGGAUCCGUUCGUCUUCUCUUGUUGCAGGAAGCACAUGGUGGAGGUUUGAUGGGUCACUUUGGGGCCACAAAGACGUUGGAUGUGUUGUCCAAUCAUUUCUUUUGGCCACAGAUGAGGCGAGAUGUUCAGAGGUUCGUGAGUCGCUACACUACAUGUCAAAAGGCUAAGUCACACUUGAAUCCACAUGGUUUGUAUAUGCCUCUUCCUGUUCCUUCUAUUUCUUGGGCGGAUAUUUCUAUGGAUUUUGUGUUAGGAUUGCCUAGGACUAAGAGGGGGAGAGAUAGCGUUUUUGUUGUGGUGGAUCGAUUUUCUAAAAUGGCAUAUUUUAUACCAUGUCAUAAAAGUGAUGAUGCUAUUCAUAUUGCUGACCUCUUUUUCCAAGAGAUUGUACGCUUGCAUGGUAUGCCUUCUACUAUUGUUUCAGAUCGUGAUGCGAAGUUUUUGAGUCACUUCUGGCGUACUUUGUGGAACAAGUUGGGUACAAAAUUGUUAUUUUCUACCACUUGUCAUCCGCAAACUGAUAGCCAAAUGGAGGUGGUGAACCGUACCUUGGGGACCAUGUUGAGGGCUGUUUUAAAGAAGAAUUUGAAGAUGUGGGAAGAAUGUUUGCCUCAUGUGGAGUUUCCAUACAAUCGAGCAACACAUUCUACCACCAAGGUAAGUCCUUUUCAGGUAGUGUAUGGUUUUAACCCCUGCGCUCCUAUUGAUAUUUUACCUUUGCCUACUAGUGAGCGAAUUCAUAGUGAGGCUAAAGACCGUGCUGAAUUUAUAUUGAAAAUACAUGAAACAACUAAGCAAAAUAUUGAAAAGAUGACUGAAAAAUAUAGAGUUGCUGGUAGCAAAGGUAAGAAAGAAUUAAAGCUUCAACCGGGUGAUCUUGUGUGGUUGCACUUGAGAAAAGAAUGUUUUCCAGAUUUGAGGAAGUCUAAGUUAAUGCCAAGAGCUGAUGGUCCAUUCAAGAUACUUGAGAAAAUUAAUGAUAAUGCAUACAAACUUGAGUUGCCUCCCGAGUUCGGGGUUAGUCCCACCUUUAAUAUUUCAGAUUUGAAACCUUAUUUGGGAGAAGCGGAUGUGCUUGAGUCGAGGAUGACUCCGAUUCAAGAGGGGGAGGAUGAUGAGGACAUCACUCCUUUGGAUAUACAAGAGGUUCCUUCGCUGGACAUUCAAACCAUUCAAGCUCCAAUCACAAGAGCUCGCGCGCGACAAUUAAAUUUAGAGGUGAGCUCGCUCCUAAGCGUUUCUAUUAAUAAUUGUGAGAAUGGUUUGCUACCUAAUUUUUACAAUGUGAUUAGGAACCAAGGAGAGGUCCAGGGAACACGUGGAGAGGAGCAUGGAGGUGUGGAGGAACAGUAAGGGCCGCCAAGCCACAUGGAGACCCAAUCCAAUUUAACUUCGAGUCCACCUCGGAGUCCAGGAGCAGCCUGAUGUAAAUUGGACGCCCAGGCCACAUCCAGAGUCCGAAUUUGAUGAUCCACAUAUGGACGGAAAGAUAAUUUCAUGGAGCUUCUAUUGGUGUUGGUUUCAGGUCCAAACACCUUCUGAGUCAUCGGAAAUUGUCCAAGGAAGUUGGCGUCCAGAUUCUAUCCCGGUGCUGGGAUAUCGUAUUUUGGCCUUUGGACCGUGUAUCUUUGUUGAGCCCAUUAGGGGCGCGUCCAGGGGGAAGCCACGCCCCUAUUUCCUAUAUCUCAACAGCCACCGCCCUCAUUAGGGUUUGGUUUUGCUUUAGAUCAACCUGUCUUGAACAGUCGCCAUCUUUCGGUUUGUAGAACCCCAACUUUCGAGCUCAAUCGUCCAUCUGCAGUUGUCACUUUAAUUUGAGUUCUGCGUUUCUUUCGAGUUCUUGCUUGUGUUCUUCGUUUCACAGGCAGGGAUUAGCCUUCUCAGUGAGGUCAAUCGGAUUGUGACUACGGUUGAUAACCAGAGGAGUUGUGGUGCUAAGAUUGCGGGGUUCGAGUUGCUGACUUGAAGCCGAAUCGGUGUGUCGCAUUCUGACCAAAACGAGUUUUCCUUCACCUGACGGAAGAUCGGGCACCCCCGUUCAUAUCAUAACCCCACCACCUGGCCCUCCAACUCACCGCUCGCCACUCGCCCGACCUCUGCUGGCUUUCCCCGCACCGCCACGUCGUGUCGCCGUCGCCCGAAGCCACCACGCCGCGCUGCCGGCCGCCAGCAGCUGCUCCAGCUCACCCGUGCCCCUUCUUGUUCCCGCAGCACGUCCAGGAGCCUUCCUUGACUUCAUUUACACUCUCACGCGCCCGCAUUUUCGCCCCUCGGCUUCUUCUCCACUCAGCACCGCUGCCAGACCACCGCCGCCGGCUCUGCUCACCGUCGUCAGCCAUCUCCGCCGCCCCACACCCACAAUCCCGUGCUCCACCGGCACCACUACAUCCCACUAAAGCUCCCUGACCAGUUCUUCUCCAUCCACUCACGCUCACACCACCAGAACAUCACGCCGGCCAUCCUGUCCACCACCGCCGCUCGGCCUCGCCGUCGUCCCGACACUACGCCCCCUCUCGGCCCUCACCGAGCUCACUACCAGCACCACAUCUACGCGUGGAAGCUUUCUAGCCACUUCUUCGCCGCCUUCCUACACUCCGGCCGCAGGAAGACUGCCGCCACCUCGGGACCUCGCCGCGCCGGCUCGGUCCUCCGUCGAACCGCCAUCUCCGCACCUUCCUUCUUCGAUUCCGGCCACCCCCAAGCCCGCCGUGCGCUCCUGAACCUUUUCCCCCACAUCCCCCUCACCGCCGGUGAUCCUCCUCGCCGGAAUUUGAUCACCACCGUUGCUGUCCCUCAGUUCAAACAGGUCAGGGACCCAAUUGCAGACCUUCUUUCUUUCCAAGGUCCUCUCUGCAAAAUAUCAGUACCCCCUGAAUUCAAAUCAGCCAGCUUUGAAAAUCUGUAGAAAUUUGUGGAAAAAUCCAAAAAUUGUCAAACUAGUUCUUUUAUACUCUAAAAGUCCAGUUCUACAACAUUUGUUACUAAAGUUUAGUUUAAAACUUAAUGCUUUAAGUGUUAUUUUAAAGUUUAACAAAAGGGAAUCUUGUAUGUAUCUCUUGCAUUCUAGCUUUAUUUCAUGUGAUUUUUGGUAUGCAACUUGUAUCUGAUAUGAGUGAAUUUGUGUGUAAAUUUCACCAUCAGUACUGAACUCUAACUUGAGCUCACUUAAAUUUGUGCAAAGUAAGCUUGAAAUAAAGUAAAUUUAUUCAGGCAUGUUACUGAUACUUUCAUGCUUAGAUCUUUUUACUAUGUGUUGCUCUAAUGUUGAGUGAUUCAUAGUAAAUUUUGAAUAAUUUUAUAGCACUAUUUAGCCUAAGGUUUUGAUUUAAACUUGAAGUUUGAAUUUAAUUUAAGUACCAUAGUUUCUGCUUUCAAAAAUUUAUGAAAAAUUUAUGGCAAGCUUAUCUGUUAGAGGUAAACACAUUUAUCAAAAUUCAAGGCUAGAACCUCUGUAGAUUUCAAAAUAAAAAUAAAACUUGUUAUCUUAAGUUUGAAUUUGUCCAUUUUUAUACUACUAUUAUGUUAGGUUUAAAAAUAUGAAAAAUUAACAGCAGUCUUGUAUUAACUUUAGUAUGUGUUGUUAAAUUCCUAACCUCAGUACUCCUAUGCUUGAAGCUAUAGAAAUUAACUAUGAUACUAGUAGAGUUAAUUGGUUUAAUGUACCAUAAGUAAGUUGAAAUUCUUGGAAUUCAAAUCCUUGCUUUGUGAUGCUUUGAAUGUGAAUUGUUGGAUUGGAACUUUAUCGUGAAGGAAAGUUAUUAACUUAAUAAUCAUUUAAUUCAAAUCAUUGCAUAUCAUGUAGAAUCGACAACUCUUGAAGACGGAACCUACGAGUUGGUCUCAGAACCCGAGCAGGGUAUAUCUGAAGACCAAGUGCACGUCGCCGAAGAUCUUACUGAAGCCCUGAAUCAAGGUUUGGAAGAUAUUGACAUUCCUGACCCCAGCUCCACCCAAGAAAGCAAGCCCCGGUGCAUAACCCAGUAUUUUAAAUUAUGCACUUAUAUUGCUAUAUAUCUAGCUUGUGCAUUAAGUGUUAGGAGUUGUUAUGAAACCUUAGUUGCAUGAACCUAGGAACCUAUGUAAUGUUUUUGAGUUCUUAUCGAGUAGAUGCUUUGCUAAUAGGACCGGCAGAAGUCGAGUGAUUUCCUAUCACUCGCGCGAUAUAGGAGUUGAUUGUUUACUAUUUUGCAAUUACUAUAAGGAUCACGGACGGGAUUAUGUGCAGUACCAUGAUUUGGAAUAGUACCCGUCUGUGUUGGUUAAAGUUGGAUAAGGCCACGGUGUGUGGUAGUGGUGGUCAAGUGUUUAAAAGUACUAGCCACAUACCGUAAAUAUGGUACGUGGUAAGCCUAAUACCUGAUUGGCCCGGCUAGUGGACUUACCCCACCACUCAAAUUUUGGUCUUGUUGCACACACGCACCGACGUGUGGGAAUACAUUCUGCAUAGCAGACAGGAGUACGGUCAUACUGUCACGCUGUAGACGUACGUCCUGCAUAUUGGAUGUGCGUAUGGUCCUGCAGUCGCUUGUGGUGGCCCUGAUCCACGUCCCGGAAUAAGAUGGGAACGGUUGCCCGGAAAGAAAAGUUUCCAAGCGUGUGAGUUAGGAUCCCUUGCAAGGUUAUGAAAUUCGAUUCAGAAUCAUCCGUUUCUCGCGGAGAUUGAGACUACUUGAUACUUCUACCACAUAGAGUAAUAACAGUAACAGUUAAUGGAAUAAUUCUGAUGGAUGCUUAAUAUCUACCUUGCUUUGACUAGUAUAGGUGCUUAUCUAGAAUGGUUAAAUAAACUAGAAUCUGAAAGCUAAUAUAUGAAAGUAAGGACAUACUCUUUGUUGCUUUUCUACAAAGGAAAACUAGAGCCGUUACAACUUAUCAUGGUCUAGUUAUGGGCUAAGUAUACCCAAUGUCGGGUAAGCCUUGCUGAGUAUUAGUAUACUCAGCCUUGCUAGUAAUGUGGUUUUCAGGUAUGCCAUUCGAGGACUCUGUGGCUAGUUCUCCUUGGCCCUGUUCUGUUCUACUUGGCUGGUCCGUGGAAUGGCAUCCGUCCUCGGCCAGCAAUGACCCUUCGAUGUAACGCCAUGCUUGGGGCUAAGUAUGGUGCCUACCACUGCGACGUAUGUAGUCACGUUGUUUUUUUCCACUGCUAACUCUAAAUACUGUCUGUUAAACUUGAAGUUUCGAGUAAUACUUGUACAAAUUUGUAUUAGCUAGGAUGAAACAAAACCUCUGUGUAAUAAUGUUUAAUUAUCCUAUAAUGUAAAAGUUGCGAUCUGUUGUAAGGCUGGACUCGCCUUCGUGCGAGGUAAACCUACGUCGAUCCUGUGUAACCGUGGUUGAAUCGGACGAUGACCCGACAGACCAAUGAGUUGUUCCGUUUGAAGUGCAUUAAGAUCCUAACGCCUGUAUAGUGAUGGUCUGUGCACUUGAACCGGAAUAAUUCAGGCAGUUCUGCCACAGGAAAGUGAUGGAAAAGUAAGCUACCUAAUGCACCCUGGGCAUACAGGAUAGCAUACAAAACUCCCAUCGGCAUGUCACCGUAUCAGCUCGUUUAUGGCAAAACAUGUCAUCUGCCAGUCGAGCUAGAACACAGGGCCUACUGGGCCAUCCGAAAGUGGAAUAUGGACAUCAAGCUGGCCGGAAGGAAUAGAAAAAUCCAGCUUGCAGAACUAGACGAAUGGAGAGAGAAGGCUUACCACAGUGCCAAGAUCUACAAAGAAAGAACCAAAAGAUGGCACGACAAGAGGGUCAAGCCCAAGUAAUUCAAGGCUGGAGACAAGGUACUAAUGUUCAAUUCUAGGGUUAAGCUCUUUGGAGAAGGAAAACUUUUCAGCAAAUGGAAAGGACCAUACAAUGUCAUCAGUGCGUGUUCACAUGGAGCAAUCACACUCCAAGAUGGUGAAGUUAAGAUCUUCAAGGUAAAUGGUCAACGUUUAAAAGUUUUCUACACACCCCUUAAUUCAAACAAAGAGGUAGAUGUUAUUAAUUUGAUAGAUUUCAAUGCUUCACAUCCUCUCUUCGACAAAAGGAGAUCAAGCCCGCAACUUUCAUCUAGACACCAGACUACUUAGCCUUCCCGUCUUUUUUGCUUACGGCACAUAAUUUCCCUUCCAAAUUUUGUUUCCCUUCAUUUGGAUUGUGCCCCCUUAUUUUAAUUCAAUAAUUAUUUGCACUCCCCGGCGUCCAAAUCGGCAGAGUUUUUUUCCUCUACUUUGUCUUGGUUUCAAAUAAAUCAGGUAUAGAAACAAAGUGUGGGGGAAACAUCACCGAAAAAAAGCAGCACGGACCAACACUGCGCAACACGCCUAGACUAGGGACCAGACGGCCCACAAAGGGGUCGGUCAAACCCCUGGUUCAACCGAACCCCUAAGGAGCCUAUCCAGCCACUGCUUCAUCAACCACAAUGGUUUGUGCUUUACUCCCUCACAUCUCCCUAUUCUAAAAGAAAAUUAACUAUCAAAAUUUAAAAAUAAAAAUAGAAGGCCUUAUACAAUCCAUGCAUUUCCAUGAACAAACUUGCAUACUCUAUGUUCCUCGCAUUCUCUCUAGUUGGUGUGAACAAAUACUUUUAUAGGGAACGCAUGCUACCUAAGUAAUUUACUAAUGCGAUAUAAUUGGAUGAAUGGAACCAUGCUCUUUCCUGCAAAGUACUUGGGACUUCUUUUCAAAAUUAAAAAAAAUAUACAAUAGCUUGCCUCCUCAAAAUAAUAAAAACUCCUACCAGAGCCAAAGUUCGAGCAUCAUGCAAAACCUUUUGAUUAUGCGGUUUGUCUUGCUUUGAGCUUUGUCAAAUUCGUUGAUCCAUGUUAGAAACUUUUCAUGUUCUCAUGAUCAAGAUCACGUACACUCCACAUAUAUAUGCCGAUUUCCACACUCAAAAAACAUGCCGUUCAUCAAAUCCUCUAUCAAAUAAAACUCCAAUAAAGAUGACUCUCUCCAACUAUCUUAGCAAAAAGAUGUGGGUUAUGCAAAAGAAGAAAAAAAAGAUAAGAAAUAAAAGCAUGCUCAAAAGCAUGGUUUGGAUAUCUACAAGUCCAAGAAAAAAAGAAAAAAAGAAAGAAAGAAAGCCCACAUCCCAAAUUUCAAAAGAGGGAGAGUCAUACACAAAAGGAGUUCAUACUUGAAAACCACACACACUUGGACAUUUUUUAUGAGAUUGCAUGACUUGUUUCUUCUUGGAUCUUGUCUUUGACUUAGCAACACGAGAAAAGCAAGUAUGUCUCUUUACUCCUACCCUGAGCUCCACAUAAGCUUGAUUAGAUGAUAGGAGAAAAGAAGGAGACAACUUUACCUUGGUGACAACUUAAAAUAAAAAGAGUGAUUCGAGAGAAUAAUUUGAGGAGCAAGACUAUUAUUUUCAAAAUAAAAAAAAUCAAAAACUAAAGUUUCUAAGCAGGAAGAGCUAGGAACCUGAAAUCGGCAUUGUUCCAUUCUUCAAUUAUCCAAGAAAGCAUGGUAACCACUCAAAAGUUCACAAAAACUGGAGGAAGCAUGGAAUAUCUUGUAUGCAGGUUACAUCAAAGGAGUUGCAUCCACCUUAGUCCUCAAACCUUUACUUGAGGAGGAGCAAAGGGCUAAGUGUGGGGGUGUUGUUGAUGAUCCUUAGUUCACCAAUAAAACUGUCAACUUCUACAUCUUUCAAUAUUAAAAUAAUCAACAACUUAGCUAUAGAGUUUUAUUCUAAUUGGUUCCACAAGUUUUGGUGAAUUAUGAUUUGCAGGCACCCACAACUGAAAUACGAGAGAAAACACAAGUGAAUGCAGAAGAAAUGCACAGAAGAUCCCCUCCUGCGUCUCACUUACAAGAAGGGCCCACUUAACGGAUCAAACCAACAUUACAAGGCGGCAAACACCCAAGAGAUAAGAUCAAGGCCCACCUACCAGCCUAUGGAGCAAAGGCGAUGCAGAGGGGGCCACCAAGGGGUCGACCGAACUUGGCCUCGCUCCCGUCCAGAUGCAGCUUGGCAAGAGAUUCAUUCUUAUCGUCCUGAAGUCGGUGCCUAGUGUUUCCUUGUAUACCACGGCCCCAAACCAACUUAUCCAAGCUAUAAAAGGAGAAGAGGAGAUCCCACAACACACAAAACAUUUUGGAGAAGAAGAGAAGAGGGACUCCACCUUACUUUGUAGCAUUAGGAUAGGGAGUGUGUGAGAAGAAGGCUGGAGAAGAGCCGGACAUGUCGGUGUCUCUCUUCUACCUUGUACCUUGGCAAAUAUGAAUCUUUUGAGUAAGUACUUGAGUUUAUCUAAGUGGUAAAGUUAUUGUUUAAGUUAUUCUCUUGUUGUUAUUCAUUUACGGGUUCAUCGUCUGUUCUUGUAGCGGAGACUCUAGUAGAGGGCCCCUUAUAAAGACGGGUAAACCCUGCGCAAUGCUAGAGUAGUCGUCGAUGGCAUAAAUGUGGUCUUUAGACCUUAGAUUACCUUUGUUUGCUACGAGCCCCCACGAUGUUGCAGGGUAGGCGGCAGGUGGUGACAACCCUAUCCGUACUUCGAAAUCCCUCAAGUUUGGGGUCAGAGUAGAGCUAAUGGCCGGAGGUCUCUAACAGAUCAGAGUCAAACCGGUGCCCGAAGUAAACGAGUAAAAGCUUGAGUUUAUUCUUCCUUGAUCCUUUUCCUUAGACAAACCACAAUACCCAAGGCCAUUCUAUCUCUUGUUGUUCAAGUUAAACUAGCUAGAAGCCCGUUACACCUCUAUUCCCUGAAAAAAUACGAUACCCUAAAUAUUCUAUGGGUGAAGUGCUACAAUGGUAUCUCCGUGCGCUUACGGAUUUAUUCAUGAUCGUUAAAAAAUACCAAUAAGCAUUUCUUGCGCCGUUGCUGGGGAGCGGUUGUUGUAGUUUUCUUCGAACCUAGUUUACCCGUAUAUCUUUUAUUUUACCUUUCUCUUUCUUUUAUCCCUUUUCUUACCAUGCAUCAUAUUUUAAUCCAAACACUUUCUACUCCCAAGGGCGAGUUCUUAGAACCACCACAAUCCUCCAAGACAAUCAUAGCUUCUGGCUAUGAAUUCCGUCCUGGCUUCAUUGCCAUGGUUCAGGAACAACCCUUCUCAGGCUUUAGCGAUGAAAACCCUUACCACCACCUACUAGAGUUCGAGCAAUUGUGCGCAUUCCUGACCACACUACAACACAUAUGACCUUCUAUGAUGAAUAUCUCAUGACAAUUGAUCAAAACGUCAUAAUGUCAUUUCCUUUUAUGACAUUUUGUAUGGGCUGGUAUGGUUUAGUGACAAAAAUUAGAAUUUUGUCACCUGGAUCAGUCAGAAAUCAUCAUAAACUGGUCUAAUAUCAUAUUUGUGACGAACGCUCAUCGUAUUUCCGUGAUGAAUAGCAAGCGUCACAUAUGUGAUCAGAAUGAUUAAUGAUUGGUAGAAUCUUAUGUGAUCAGAAUGAUUCAACUUGUAUCAUCCUGCACUUAACUUGCUGAUUUUUGCAACCGCAAUUCAGAACCUUAAGUUAUAGCAUGGACAAAUAAAUGCUUCUUGUUUUAACAAUGCUGCUCCUUUUCUUGUAACAACUUGUUCAGAUUUAGCUUGGCACAGACUUUGUAAUUGCCGAAGGUGUCAAUUUCAUUGCUGUUUCAUUAUGCUUUGUUGGAGAAACCAUAUUUGACAUUAUUAGACUGAUAACUGGUGUUCCUAGAACUGUUCUCGAUCCUUAGCCACUAGCAACUGUGCUGGUCGGUUCCUGUUCAGUCCUAGAUGAUUACUCAUAUUGGUUGGGUUUUAUUUGUACUCUAACCCUCCAAAAAAUUCAGCGUAGAAUGUAAUGGUUUCUAUGUAGUUACUACAGAAAAUACUGAAUCAGCAAGCUAUCCACUUUUCGGUGUACCUCCUUUUAUUCAAAUAAUGCUGUGCAACAAUGUGAUUCAUGGAAGAAUAAUAAGAACUGUUUAAAAUUGUCCUUAGGAGUGUUAGCCUCAGAGUUGAGAAGUGGUAAUGCCACAGUUAAAUUAGUAUUUAAAAAAAAAAGUUGUUUGGUCUUGCAGAUUGGGUUAAUCGCUGGUGUGGUUUUUUUCUUGGAACACAUUAAAUUGUAUAGUUCUCAUGUUUCCAUCCAUGCUCUUUUCAGGUAACCUGACUUUGGAUGAAUGCUCUGCAUAAUGCUAGGUGAGCUUAGCAUAUGUUCUUAUCUCCGAUUUAAAUUAUUACAAGUCCAGCAAUCCUUUUCCAUAUUUUAGUGUUUUUUCUACUGAACAACUAAGUCCAUUGAUUCAUCGCUAAUUCUUAUGUUGCUGCAGUGCAGUAGAAUGUCUGAAAAGAAACUAAGCUUUUAUGCAUCCAAUCUGGAGAUACAAAGCAGACUAACCCAGAGGCGACACUUCAAACAGACCAGAAUGCAGACCAUCCUCUUUGCUUGCUUGCUUGCCUGGUGCAACUUUUGCAUGUACACAUGUAUGUAUGAAUGCAGGAUAAAUUAUAUUGCUUGACUGCUUGCCUGGUGCAACUUUUGCAUGUACGUAUGUAUGUGUAUGAAUAUGUGCAUGGACAGAGGAUGAACUGUGAACACGUGACCUAUUUGUUCUCUCCUUUUUUUUAUUUUCAACAUCAGUGACGUGGUUUCCCCGGAACACGUCACUAAUGACUAUAAUUAGAGACGCGGUCUGAGAAAAUAUAUGACUAAUGACUAUUAUUAGAGACAUGAUUAGCGAAAACAUGUCACUAAUAAUCAUCCACAUCUAAGGUUUUGUGAUGUUUUUUGUUAUCAAUAAUGAUGAAAAAUGAGCGUCAUAAAUUAGUGACGAAAGAAAAAUCAUCACGAGAUUUAUGAUGAAAAAAUUUGUUUUCAUCACAAAAUACCUUUUAUUAAAGGGCAUAGGCGAUGAACGGAUUUUCAUCACGCAAGCGUCACAGAUUACGAACCAUAACGAAAAAACUAGUUUCAGUGACAUAAGUGAAACAUCACAGAAAGCCACAUAUGUUGUAGUGCCAUUUUGGGCAUGGCACAAGAGACACUUCGGUGGAAGUUGUUUCCUUUCUCCCUCGACCAGAGAGCGAAGCAAUGGCACGCCGAUAACAUAAGGAAGGUAAAUGGAGAAUGCGAUGAACUAAGAGAUAGAUUCUGUCUUACGUUCUUCCCUAUGUGUCACAUUGCUUCUAUACGAAAAGAUACUGAAACAACACUAUCUCCUCAGCCUUCUCAAUCGGCCUUUUAUCACUAGUGGCACGGAGCCACUGGAUAAUCUCCUUGGGCUGAAGGAGGCAUUCAUCUACUAGCAUUUUGAGGUCAGCCUCAGAACACUUGUUCUCCACCCAUCGCCCGCUGUGGUGGCCGGCUUGGAAUCCUUCCCCUUUGUCUUGGUGGCACCCUCCUUGCCGGCCAUCCUUGUUGUUACGAGUCACUUCACUCGCAUGCGCUUGGGGGCUAAGGACUGGCCGAUGGAGCGGCGCUCUAGAGAAGGAUGAAGGUCUCAAUGACUACUUUAACAGAACAGGUUCAACUACGAUUAGCCUGGAUCUGAAUCUGGAGGCGGCGGCGACUGAGCGACAGAGGAAGACAAAGGGCCAAAGCAGUGAAAGCACAAGCGCAAGGGUAAACCUAAGUCACUGCACGGUUAAAUAACUAGCGGCGGACACAGUUUUACUGUGCAGAAGUUGAGGAGUUUUUCAUGAGAUAUAAUUUGUUUUGAGUGGUAUUUUAGGAUAAUCUUAGGGAAGUUAUUUGAUUAAUUAUUUUUUAGGGAUAUUAUCCCAAAAAUGGGGUUUGUCAAAUUUCAAACCAAUUUUUUCCUAUCUUAACCAUCAACUCAAGUUCAUAAAAUACUUUACAAGGCAUGCCACAUUCAUUUGGAUCCUUUUUUCCAAACCUUUGGGAUUUAGAUUCAAGGCUCGGGGGGCUGUGGGACACGUGUUAGCAAUGGCUUAAUUUUUAAAAAUAUUUGGAAGAUAAGAAAAGAAGAUUCAAGACUAAUUUGACACUCAGCAUGAUUUUUCGAUUCAACCUAAGCCUCGGGGGCUACUCCAUAUGGAGUGCGAUUUUCAUCGCACCCCAUAUAAAAGAAGACAUAAAACUACUCAGGGCAUGAGUACCUCAUAGCCUCGAAGCAGCCAAGGAAGUACUCAGAGGAUGCCUUCAAGAUGACUUCAAAAGUACUCGAAAGCCUGCAGUACUCGGCUACAAAGAGCUCAGGGGCUUGUCAGACCCGAGGCCACGGGACUACGCACAUGGCAUAGAAUAUUCUAGAAUAAGAGAUGGGGUAUGGUAUGUCCCAUACUUUUUAUCUGUUGUAAAGUACUCGGAUACGAGUAGGACUAGUUGGUACAGAGGGAAACUACCCGAAUAGUACUUGUUGAUGGUGCUUAAAUCACAAAAUGAACCGUCAACCUCUGUAUCAUUUAAUAUAAAAUUAAUCACCAAUCUUAGCUAUAGGGCUUUAUUCUAACCAACUCCAUAAGUUUUGGUGAAUUGUGAUAUGCGAGUACCCACAUACAGAAAUUAAGGAAAAACACAAAUGACACCCAUAAGAAAUGCACAGAAGAUCAUCUACUGUGUUACAUAGAAUCGAAGGGCCCACAAAUCAAACCAAACGGGCGCGUCAAGGAACAAAUCACCAAGGAUCAAUGCCAAGACUGACAUGUCAGCUAUCUAUAGGAAGGUGGAGCCACGGAGGCGCCACCUAGGGUCGGCUGAACCUGGAAGUCUUCCCGGCUGCCCAAUCUUUAGCGGGAAGAUCAUCCUUAUCUUCUUGAUGAUGGCGGCCAAUAUUUCCAUAUGAAGAGAUGGCGGGAACCGACCUCUCAAGCUAUAAAAGGUGGCCUUCCCCUCCUCAUUCACACACACCAUUUUGGAGAAGAGGAAGAGAAGGGAGGACUCCACCUUUUAGAGCUACUUAAUAGAGUAGGUUAGGGAGUGUGUGGACGAGAAGUCCAGGAGCCGGAGUUGUCGGCCUCCCUCUACUGUACCUUGGUGGAUACGGACCUCUUUUGGGUAAGUUUUCGGGUUCAUCUAUGGUGGUGAGUUCUUAUUAAAGCAAAGACUUUGUUAUCAUUCACUUGUGGGAUCAUUGUCCGUUCUUGAACCGUUGUUUCUAGCAUAAAGACUUGAGUCUUAAGACGGAAUCUGUCCGGGGCUAGAAGCAGUAAUCGAUAGCAUAGACAUGGUGUCUAUGCUAGAAGUUACAUUUGUUUGCUACCAUUCUCCACGAUAUGAGAGGUAGGCGGCAGGUGGUGAUAACCCUAUCCAUCCUUCAUAUCCCUCCACGUUCGGGUUGUGAUGAGGACAUCGCCACCAACGAUACAUCCACACCUACACCAGUAUCUACUUCAACAACACCUCUUGGUCCUAUUACUUACGCUCGUGCUCAUCGGCUUACCUAUCUAGUAAGUUCACUCUUAAGCUCAGGUUCAUCAUAUUUAGAUAAUGGAGACAUGUGCACUCUUAUUUUACCCAGGAACAAUGGAUUGGAUCAAAAGAGAAGAGGCAUUGCACAGGCUGGAUUCGGACUGCAGGACAGACACGACUUGUGAUCACCGUCACGACUUCAUCCGGACUCCGUUUUGGUCGUUUAAGUACUUCCUCGAAAGCUUAUCAAAUCUACUUUCUAACGGAUCCAGAAUCACCUCCAAAUCUGUUCGGAGUCAACCGCAAUCCUCGAUUUACUACAGAGUCCUUUUCAGCCAUGGUGCUGCGUCACCCUAUUUUGGCCCAACAGGCCGUGUAUCAAGUUGAGUCCAAGUCAAAUACAUCCUAGGGUUGGAACAUGACCCCAGCACCCUUGUGGUCAUUCUCCCACUUCUUUAUAACCUUUAGCCACCGUCAAGAAUACUCGAGUUUUGUUAGAUGCAAGUUUAGCUUUCGCCACUUCCUUGUAGACGCACGUGCUGAUCCAGCCGCCCGUCCACUUAUUUUCGGAACCCCACCAUAAUUGAGAUUCGGUUUGAAACCUUUAGUUACAUCUCGUAAUUUCAGUACUUGUUCUACUUGUUCUUGCUAGUUCUUCGAUUGCUUGCAGGACGAGUACCCUAGUGGCCGAGUGUCGCGCUCCACAAGAUCGCGGCAACCAUAGGAGGUGGUGUAUUGGUUGCUAGGCGCAGCAUCCUUGGAAGGCUGUAGUCGGGCUGUGAACAUCGUCUCCUCCAUCAAUCGAGUUAUCCCACAUCUCUCAUCAAAAGAUUGGGAACAAACCCUAGCGGGUUCACAUCAGUUGGUAAUCAGAGCAAGGUUGUUCGGUGAGAGACUUCCAAUCCUUCGCUAUUUUUUUAUUUUCCUACAAUCCAGAAAAAGCCAAAAAUAGUAGAAAUUUUUUCCCCUCACCGCACUCCUAUAGACCCUUUUGAGCCUUUACUAGUACUGCUUAGUUAGGUCUUGUUGAGUUUUCGGUUGCAUCGGUUGUGUCGAGUUGCUGGUCUUAGUUGUAGUCCUUUAGAGUUUCAAGUUCCUAUCAUGUUUGGUCACGUACACUGUUUUUUAUCACUGUUUUGGCUGAAUCAGAAUAUACUUUGGCUAUCAAGUUUGACUUGGAAUCGGUUAAGCGCGUGAUGGCCGAGACCGACUUGAAUUCGGGUAGCCUAUCAUCUCGCGGUUGCCGAAUCUGAGUGCCUCUUUGUUAUCACAUCCGACUUGAAUUCGGUGCUGGUUGAAUCUGAGUCCAAACUGUGCACUAGAGGCAAUAACACUUCACACAUAUAUUUAAGUGUUCGGCCUACUCCAGAGAGAGAGAGAGUAUCUUUUAAUUACCUGUAUACCCCUACUCUUUCUGGAAGAAGCGUGUGUGGUGACUUGCUCACUUGUAUUCCUUUGUUCAUAGAAUCUGUUUUUGAGGUUCCCCUGAAAAAAUAGAAAAAAAGAAAAAAAGGAUCAGUGUUAAAAGAAAGAAGAAGAAAAAAGAAAAGAAAAAAAGAAGAAGCAAAGGGCUAAUUCAUUGUGUUUGUUUUUCCCUUCUGUUCAGGGUGGUGCUUUGUGACUUCCUUUGUGUCCAGGCUCGCGUCUCUAGCAUAGUCUAGACUAGGACCAGCACAGUACCACCGUUGAACGAUUAUUCAGCUUGCUUUUUUGACUAACGUGGUGCUAGUACUUCCUUGUUCUAGCCCACCUACAGCUCCACAUAUUCGACUACAGCUCCACAGGUCUUGUUGCUAUAGCACCAAUACACUUCAUUCCAUGGUUGCAGACUUGUUGGUUGUCGUCCCCUCCUGGCAGCAAGAUAAGAAUUGGUAAGAGCUUUUGCAACAGGUUGAGUGUGAGCGUCUUGCAGUAGUUACACCCUAUUAGCUGUAGGGAUUUUACUACUUCACCUGUUUUUCUUGUUGUUCUUAUUUUUCUCACCAUGGCAGGCUCCAAGGAGGAGAAUCAUAGCUUGCAUCAGCCUCCACGUACCAGGGGCGUCAUACAACAUUUUGAAAGGCAAAUGCAGCGGCACACAGAGGGACUUGAUAAUGAUAUGCAGAUGACGAAUGACAAGAUUGGACAAUUGGAGGCUACGCAGAUUGCUACCAACACCAAGCUUACGGGCCUGGAGAUAGCAGUCGGCAAUAUUGACAAGAGUCUCGCUGCUCUUUUGCGGCGUUUUGAUGAGCUCCAUGCGAAGACCAACGAAUAGCGUGAUGAUUGGGAGGAUGAAUAUAUUGCUGAUACUGAACAAGAUGAACAAGACGCUCGCCAUCGUCGACGGCUACGCACUAAUCAUAGAGGUAUGGGUGGUUUUCGCCGACGUGAGGUACUCAAUAAUGAUGAUGCUUUUAGCAUGAUUGAAUUUAAGAUACCUCCUUUUGAUGGUACAUAUGACCCCGAUGCAUACAUUACUUGGGAAAUUGCUGUUGAUCAAAAGUUUGCAUGCCAUGAUUUUCCUGAGAAUGCACGUGUUAGGGCUGCUACUAGUGAGUUCACUGAUUUUGCUUCUAUUUGGUGGAUAGAACAUGGCAAGAAAAAUACUGAUGACAUGCCACAAACUUAGGAUGCUUUCAAACGGGUCAUGCGGGCUAAAUUCGUUCCUUCUUACUAUGCAUGUGAUCUGUUACAUAAGUUACAAUAAUUAAGGCAAGGCACUAGAAGUGUAGAAGAAUAUUAUUAGGAAUUGCAAAUGGGUAUGCUACGUUGUAAUUUAUCGAAGGGUGAGGAACCUGCUAUGGCUAAAUUUUUGGGCGGGUUAAAUCGAGAAAUUUAGGAUAUUCUUGCAUAUAAAGAUUAUACUAACGUAACCCGUUUGUUCCAUCUUGCUUGUAAAGCUGAAAGGGAGGUACAGGGACGACGUGCUAGUGCUAGGUCUAAUGUUUUUUCAGGUAAAUCUACAUCAUGGCAGCCACGCAUGACUACUUCUAUGGGCGGACGUGCAUCUGUACCAGCUCCUUCACCGAGUCGUGCAGUAGCACCUUCUCCAUCCAGCGAUAAGCCACACACUCCUCCCACCACUUCAGCAACCAAGACUAUCCAGAAGCUAGCCGCUAGUGCUUCCUCAGUUGCAUCCACAGGUAGAAUAAGGGAUGUCCAGUCAUUGGUGCAAGGGCUUUGGGCACGUGCAGCGUGACUGUCCUACCAAACGUGUUUUCAUGGUCAAAGAUGAUGGUGCGUAUUCCUCUGCUAGUGAUUUUGAUGACGAAACACUUGCUUUGUUUGCUGCUAACCAUGCAGGUAAUGAGGGAACACCAGACGAACAUAUUGAUGCAGGUGCAGCCGAACACUAUGAGAGUCUCAUUGUGCAGCGUAUGCUUAGUGCACAAAUGGAGAAGGUGGAGCAAAAUCAGCGACACACGCUGUUCCAAACUAAGUGUGUCAUUAAAGAGCGUUCCUGUCAUAUGAUUAUUGAUGGAGGUAGCUGCAACAAUUUGGCUAGCGGCGAAAUGGUGGAGAAGCUUGCACUCAGCACCAAACCACACCCACAUCCGUAUCACAUUCAAUGGCUAAACAACAGUGGUAAGGCUAAGGUAACGAGGCUGAUGCACAUUAAUUUUGCAAUCGGCUCAUAUCAUGAUGUUGUUGAGUGCGAUGUUGUGCCUAUGCAAGCUUGCCAUAUUCUGCUCGGUAGGCCUUGGCAAUUUGAUACGGAUUGUGUGCACAAUGAGAGUCUCAUUGUGCAGCUCUUGCACCAUGAUAAUAAAAUUGUGUUGCUUCCUAUGUCUCGUGAAGCUAUUGUGCGUGAUGAUACUGCUAGAGCUGCCAAAGCUAAAAGUGAGACCAAUAAAAUUGUCAAGUCAGUUGCUAAUAAGCAAGAUGAGAUAUGAUUGAAAGGAACUUGCUUGCUUUCUACUAAAUCUGAUAUUAAUGACUUGAUUGCUACCACUUGUGUUGCCUAUGCUUUGGUGUGCAAAGAUGCUUUGAUUUCCAUUCAUGAUAUGCAGCACUCCUUGACCCCUGCUAUCACUAAUGUUUUGCAGGAGUAUUCUGAUGUGUUUCCAAGUGAAAUACUAGCGGGGUUGCCACCAAUAUGAGGGAUUGAGCACCAAAUUGAUCUGAUUCCAGGUGCAUCGUUGCCCAACCAUGCGCCAUACAGGACCAAUCCGGAAGAAACGAAAGAGAUUCAGCGACAAGUGCAAGAACUACUUGACAAAGGUUAUGUACGUGAGUCCCUUAUUCCUUGUGCUGUUCCGGUUAUUUUAGUCCCCAAGAAAGAUGGAACGUAGCGUAUGUUUGUCGAUUGUAGAGCUAUUAACAAUAUCACAAUUCGAUAUCGACAUCCUAUUCCACGUUUGGAUGAUAUGCUUGAUGAAUUGAGUGGUGUUGUUGUGUUUAUCAAAGUUGAUUUGCGUAGUGGGUAUCACUGGAUUCGCAUGAAAUUGGGAGAUGAAUGGAAAACUGCUUUCAAAACUAAGUUCGGGUUAUAUGAGUGGCUAGUCAUGCCUUUUGGGUUAACUAAUGCACCUAGUACCUUCAUGCGAUUAAUGAACGAGGUUCUGCGUGCUUUCAUUGGAAAAUUUGUUGUGAUCUACUUUGAUGAUAUAUUGAUUUAAAGCAAAUCCAUGGAGGCACAUCUUGAUCAUUUACAUGCUAUUUUUACUGCUUUACGUGAUGCACGUUUAUUUGGUAACCUUGAGAAGUGCGUCUUUUGCAUAGAUCGAGUAUCUUUUCUUGGCUAUGUUGUUACUCCACAGGGAAUUGAAGUUGAUCAAGCCAAGGUGGAAGCUAUUCAAGGAUGGCCUGUACCAAAGACUAUCACAUAGGUGCGGAGUUUUCUAGGACUUGCUGGGUUCUAUCGUCACUUCAUGAAGGAUUUCAGCACCAUUGCGGCACCGUUGAAUGCGCUUACGAAGAAGGGGGUGCCUUUUUCUUGGGGCACCACACAAAAGAAUGCGUUCACUAUGUUGAAAGAUAAGUUGACACAUGCACCUCUCCUCCAACUUCCUGAUUUUAAUAAGACCUUUGAGCUUGAAUGUGAUGCUAGUGGAAUUGGUUUGGGUGGUGUUUUGUUACAAGAUGGUAAACCUGUUGCAUAUUUUAGUGAGAAAUUGAGCGGACCUGUUCUUAAUUAUUCUACUUAUGAUAAGGAAUUGUAUGCUCUUGUGCGCACAUUAGAAAUAUGGCAGCAUUAUUUGUGACCCAAAUAGUUUGUUAUCCAUUCUGAUCAUGAAUCUUUGAAACAUAUUUGUAGUCAAGGAAAACUGAACCGUAGGCAUGCUAAGGGGGUUGAAUUCAUUGAAUCUUUUCCUUAUAUCAUCAAACACAAGAAAGGGAAAGGGAACGUCAUUGUUGAUGCUUUGUCUAGGCGAUAUACUUUGUUGACACAACUUGAUUGCAAGAUUUUUGGUUUGGACACAAUUAAAACACAAUAUGUGAAUGAUGCUGAUUUUAAGGAUGUCUUGCUGCAUUGUAAGGAUGGAAAAGCAUGGAACAAAUUCAUCAUCAAUUAUGGGUUUGUGUUUCAAGCUAACAAGCUAUGGAUUCCAGCUAGCUUCGUUCGUUUGUUAUUGUUACAGGAAGCGCAUGGAGGUGGCUUGAUGGGGUAUUUUGGUGCAAAGAAGAUAGAGGAUGUACUUGCUUGUCAUUUUUUGGCCAAAAAUGAGAAGAGAUGUGGAGCGAUUUGUUGCACACUGCACUACAUGUCAAAAAGCUAAGUCACGUUUAAAUCCGCAUGGUUUGUAUAUGCCUCUACCAGUUCCUAGUGCUCCUUGGGAUGAUAUUUCUAUGGAUUUCGUGUUGGGAUUGCCUAGAACUAGGAAGGGACGUGAUAGUAUUUUUGUGGUUGUGGAUAGAUUUUCUAAGAUGGCACACUUUAUUCCAUGUCAUAAAACUGAUGAUGCUACACAUGUUGCUGAUUUGUUCUUUCGAGAAAUUGUUCGUUCGCAUGGUAUGCCAAACACAAUUGUUUCCGAUCAUGAUGCCAAAUUUCUUAGCCACUUUUAGAGAACUUUAUGGGCACAAUUGGAAACUAAGCUUCUAUUUUCUACUACUUGUCAUCCCCAAACUGAUGGUCAAACUGAAGUUGUUAAUCAAACCUUGUCUACCAUGUUAAGGGUUGUUUUAAAGAAGCAUAUUAAGUUGUGGAAAGAAUGUUUGCCUCAUGUUGAGUUUGCUUAUAAUCGUUCCAUGCAUUCUACUACAAAUAUGUGCCCUUUUGAGAUUGUUUAUGGCUUGAUACCUCGUGCUUCUAUUGAUUUAAUGCCUUUGCCCACUUUUGAAAAAUUGAACUUUGAUGCUAAGCAACGUGCUGAACUGAUGUUAAAACUGCAUGAAACAAAUAAAGAAAACAUAGAGUGCAUGAAUUCUACGUAUAAGCUUGCUGGUGAUAAAGGUAGAAAGCAAUUAAUUUUUAAACUUGGUGAAUUGGUUUGGUUGCACUUGAGAAAAGAUAGGUUUCCAGCUUUGAGAAAGUCUAAAUUGAUGCCUCGGGCUGAUGGUCCGUUUAAAGUGCUAGAGUGAAUUAAUGAUAAUGCAUAUAAACUAGACCUGCCUGUAGAUUUUGGGGUUAGUCCCACAUUUAACAUUGCAGAUUUGAAGCCAUUUAGGAGAGGACGAUGAGCUUGAGUCGAGGACGACUCAAAUGCAAGAAGGGGAGGAUUAUGAGGAUAUCGCCACCAACGAUACAUCCACACCUACACCAGUAUCUACUUCGACAACACCUCUUGGUCCUAUUACUCGCGCUCGUGCUCAUCGGCUUACCCAUCUAGUAAGUUCACUCUUAAGCUCAGAUUCAUCAUAUUUAGACAAUGGAGACACGUGCACUCUUGUUUUACUCAGAAACAAUGGAUUGGAUCAAAAGGGAAGAGGCAUCACGCAGGCUUAAUUCGGACUGCAGGACAGACAUGACUUAUGAUCACCGCCAUGACUUCAUCCAGACUCCGUUUUGGUCAUUUAAGUACUUCCUGGAAAGCUUAUCAAAUCUACUUUCCAACGGAUCUAGAAUCACCUCCAUAUCUGUUCGGAGUCAACUGCAAUCCUCGAUUUACUACAGAGUCCUUUUCAGCCACGGUGCUGCGUCACCCUAUUUUGGCCCAACGGGCUGUGUAUCAAGUUGAGUCCAAGUCGGAUGCAUCCUAGGAAUAGAACAUGACCCCAGCACCUUUAUGGUCAUUCUCCUACUUCUUUAUCACCUUUAGCCGCUGUCAAGAACACUCGGGUUUUGUUAUAUGCAAGUUUAGCUUUUGCUACUUCCUUGUAGACACGCGUGCUGAUCCAGCCGCCCGUCCACUUAUUUUCGGAACCUGUGACAUUCAGGUAUUUAGAAUUAAAACACAAUAGAUUCUAAUAUAAAGUGUGUAUGUUUGAUCUUUUGUAUGUGUGCCAAAACUUUAAUGCAAAAGUAAAAGGAUCUUUUUAUAAUUCUAGAAAAUUUAGGUCCUUUGGUGCAAAAUGGGUGAGAAUGGGAGGUAAAAUCAAAACAUAUGAAGGUUGUUUUGCAAAAAGUUAAGAACUUACUUUUAAACCGCAAAUAGAGGUGAAACUACCCAAAGGAUGUAAGUGUAGUGUAGAUUUUAAAUAGGAUUUCUUUAAAGUUUAAAACUUUGCCAAGUUUUAGGUUAAAUUCAAAUCCUUAACUCUACACUUUUGCUUUUGGGCACAUUUCCAUUUCAGCUAUGGUUUGAAAGUUAACUAGGCUUUACAGUAGAGUCCCCACAUUUUUGGAAAAUCAUGGAUUAGUCCCUAUCUUCAACCUCCAGCUCCCCUUGCUCUAUUUCUGCUCGCGCCCGUGACUCCACCGCCGCCGGCCGUUUCCCGAGCUGCUCGCUGACCCCGCGCCACUCUCCUCCACCCCACGUGGCUCCUUGCUAGCCCCGCCCGCCACUCGUGCAGCUCCUGCUGGCUCUCCCCCGCCCCGCCACGUUGGGCCGCCGGUGCCGAGGCCGCCACGCGGCCGAGGGUGCCCGACGGGGCACGGUGACGGCGCCGUCGAUCUGUGGUUGGCCGCGCGCCUACUCUCUCCCUCUCUACCGCACGACACCACUCUAUAAAACCUUGACUGAAACUUCCCUCGCUCACCUCCCCUUUC